GACGAACGCUGGCGGCGUGCUUAACACAUGCAAGUCGAACGGAAAGGCCCUGCUUUUGUGGGGUGCUCGAGUGGCGAACGGGUGAGUAACACGUGAGUAACCUGCCCUUGACUUUGGGAUAACUUCAGGAAACUGGGGCUAAUACCGGAUAGGAGCUCCUGCUGCAUGGUGGGGGUUGGAAAGUUUCGGCGGUUGGGGAUGGACUCGCGGCUUAUCAGCUUGUUGGUGGGGUAGUGGCUUACCAAGGCUUUGACGGGUAGCCGGCCUGAGAGGGUGACCGGCCACAUUGGGGCAGAGAGACGGCGCCGACACCUACGGGAGGGAGAAGUGGGGAAAAUUGCGCAAAGGGGGGGAACGUGAUGCAGCAAAGCCCCGCGUGGGAUGAGGGGGCUCGGGGUGUGAAACGCGUUCGCCCGUGACGAAGCGCGAGUGACGGGAAUAGGUGAAGAAACACCCGGUAAAAACAC
rnacentral:rRNA from 1 species